rnacentral:lncRNA from 1 species
AGCAUGGGCUACUGCAUCCUUUGUGUACACGGACUGAGCAAGCUCUUGCACUUGACUGAAUUAAAGUGGGGCCCCACCCUGAUUGUGUCCACUGUGUUGCUGCUGCUGCUUUUCUCUUGGAAAACUGAAACAGAAUAAAUUUGGCUGUCCAGAAAGUCCCUAUAUAGUCUGGAGUUCAAAAUCUGCCUCACAAUGCCAAGGUUUACUACAACUAUGCCAAUUUCCUGAAGACCCAGGUCAGAACAAGGAAGGAACCUACCGCUAUAGAACGGCCCUCACAUCAUAUUGCACCAUGCGAGUGCCCCGAACAACCUUGAAACCCUGACAAGAGACACAGCAGGGACAAAAAAUGCAGUCAAAGGGCUCUCCAGCUCCAUCCACAGCAUAACCCAGCUCUUGCCAAGAUUGACAAGAUCUUGACAAGAAGAGUCUACUCUUCCUCAAGUCAUGGCUUCCUGAGCAAAAACUACCAGCAACUUGGGUUAACAACAAGUUGAUCAACAGCCACGCCUUGGAAGUUGGAGACAGUGAAUUACUCCUGAGAGAUUUACAGACAGUCCUACAGAAAAGGCAUCAGAUUUUUUUUGCAUACAAUUCAUUCUGGUAAGUGCUUAUUGCCAUUCUGACGCACUGACUUCCAUUUACCCAACAGCAGGAUUUACAAUGGGAUUUUUAACUGAUUGUGCUGGGAGAAGAUCAGGACUAUCCCAGAGAGCUGGCUGCUGAGGGUGGACCUGAGGGUGAAGUGGCGAAAGGAAAAACAAGGAGCUGCUUCUCCUUGGUGUUGUGAUGUGAACUGGACAUUUGCAGCUCUAUGUGGAAAUCAGAAAGUACAUCUUCAAUGAAACACAAAGCAACAUGUUAGUUGAAAAAUAGAAAACUGAAGAAGAAAAAAAAAGACAAAGGAAGUACAUAAAAGGAUGUUUUCAUUAUCUAAAUCUAAUAUUAACUACCAUGAUUAUUGUGUGAUUCAUAUGUGCGUGUCGAAAAUGUAUGAUAUUUCUAUGUUUUCGAGACAGCCAAGUAAAAAGGUCUCCCCAGAGAACCUUCUACCAGCCUGUGCACUGGGAGGAUGGGGCAGGGCCUCGAGAAGUUCACACCAUUUGCAGCCGGGAGGAGCCUGGCCUCUCCUGUUCCUGGGCGGUGACCUGGGAUUCAAUAUGUGAGAUGGGGAUCUGUUAACAGGAACCCCUCUUGCUUUGUGGAGAGUCUUUUUCCUUUUCACCCAAUAAUUUCCAUUUUUCUCACCCUUCUAGGUGUCCACAAGCCUAACCUUUCCUGGUCGUGUGACAAGAACCUGGUUUUUAGCUGAACUGAAGAGAAAGUCCUACAAUACUUUAAUUAGGAGUAUUUAUAAAUACUUAUAAAUAGCCUGUGCGUAGAUAGUCAUCAAAAACUGAAAGUGAAAUACAAAGUCAGUUGAAAUCAAAAUGAAAGCUCAAUGUUACAACUGAAAUAAACAAUCCUCUUUUUUAUGAUAUUGGCACAGUUAGAUUUAUUCUGAUGUUAAAUUUUACACAGGCACAGAAGAAACAUAUAUUCCCAGAGAAAUGUAUGUGAUGUCAUCUCUAGCAAGGGUUUCAGAUAGAGAGCUGCUAUGGUGAAACCCUUGCGUAUUCCCUGCCUCACAAAGAACAUUUGUGAGUGGAAAACACAAACUGUUUUUCCUUUGCUUUCACACCACAACAAUCUACACAGAAGACUUUUGUAACCAAAUACUGGAUGAGGGGGUCCCCACCAAGAGGCAAGCAAUCAAUUCUUCAGCAGACACCAGUUGGGCAUUCUCCAAUCCAAUUCCAACACUAUCUACCUGGAGAUAGUGUCAGACACUG